rnacentral:rRNA from 1 species
GGAAUAUUGCACAAUGGAGGAAACUCUGAUGCAGCGAUGCCGCGUGAGUGAAGAAGGCCUUUGGGUUGUAAAGCUCUUUCGUCGGGGAAGAAAAUGACUGUACCCGAAUAAGAAGGUCCGGCUAACUUCGUGCCAGCAGCCGCGGUAAUACGAAGGGACCUAGCGUAGUUCGGAAUUACUGGGCUUAAAGAGUUCGUAGGUGGUUAAAAAAGUUGGUGGUGAAAUCCCAGAGCUUAACUCUGGAACUGCCAUCAAAACUUUUUAGCUAGAGUAUGAUAGAGGAAAGCAGAAUUUCUAGUGUAGAGGUGAAAUUCGUAGAUAUUAGAAAGAAUACCAAUUGCGAAGGCAGCUUUCUGGAUCAUUACUGACGCUGAGGAACGAAAGCAUGGGUAGCGAAGAGGAUUAGAUACCCUCGUAGUCCAUGCCGUAAACGAUGUGUGUUAGACGUUGGAAAUUUAUUUUCAGUGUCGCAGCGAAAGCAUUAAACACACCGCCUGGGGAGUACGACCGCAAGGUUAAAACUCAAAUGAAUUGACGGGGACCCGCACAAGUAGUGGAGCAUGUGGUUUAAUUCGAAGAUACGCGCAGAACCUUACCAACACUUGACAUGUUCGUCGCGACUCUAAGAGAUUAGAGUUUUCGGUUCGGCCGGACGAAACACAGGUGCUGCAUGGCUGUCGUCAGCUCGUGUCGUGAGAUGUUGGGUUAAGUCCCGCAACGAGCGCAACCCUCACUUUUAGUUGCCAUCAUUUAGUUGGGCACUCUGAAAGAACUGCCAGUGAUAAGCUGGAGGAAGGUGGGGAUGACGUC